UCCCCGGGCCGGGGGGCUCCAGAAGCCCUACUGCUCAGUCAGCGUCAGAUCCUCACUUGCCCAGUGCGCGGGGGGCACUGCAGACCCUCGGUUUCCUGUUCGGGACCCAAGGCCUUGGGCUGCAUUUGCCCCGACGUCGCUUCCUGCUGUAUUUUGGGACAGCCCUGCGGCUAACCCAGGGUCCGCGCAAUGAGCUGGGAGCUGGGGGCUUCUCCACAGGACAGUCCUCCUCCUAACUCCUCGCCGUCCGGACCUGUCCAGCCCUCCUCAUUCACUCGCCCCGAAGGUUCUAGACCUUCCAGGGGAGGGCCUGUGUCCCUUGGCGCUGUGCCAUUAAGAACUGGCCCCUCGUCGGUCACGUGACGCUGUCGCCUAGCAACGAGAGCCACGCCGCAGCCUUUGCUUGGCUGAGCAGAGGCGAGAUGUCCGAGGAAAACCCCGAGGAGCGCGCGGAGGCUGCGGCGCCCAAGGCCGAGGCGUGUCCGGAGAAAACCAGCGACUACUACCGCGUGAGCGAGCAUCUGCCGGUCCGGUUCAACAACCCGGGGUGGUUUCGAGGCUACAGAGCCAAGGAGGCUGCCUCGGUGUACAGGACCAGUAACCAGGCUUAUGGGAGCAGAGCACCCACAGUGCACGAGAUGCCGAAAGUAUUUCACUCAAGUUCAAGUAAGUUUUCCAGACAGCUCUCAGCUAGUGGAAUGUUCCGGGAUAAUACGUUCAAUGUCUGCAUGGAGAAGAGCCUCGUGACGGGCCCAGACAACUACAUCACCCCCUAUGACAGGCUUAACUUCCACCCCAGUUACAACGUCAGCAGACCGUCCAUCUGCGACUAGGGGCGAGGCACCCCUCCCGGAGUCUUCUCUAGGCUCUGCCUUCGCGAUUUGCCCCAUUGUAGAGGAAACUACUAACGCCAUCCUGAGGCCACACCCUCAAUGAGACCAGGCCCUAAGGCUCCACCUCCAGGCCCAGUAACAGAUGCAUUGAGGACAUUUCCAACACAUGAACUUGGGGUUGCAUUCAAGCCACAGCGCUGUCCAUCUUCCUGGAAUUCAGUGACCAUGUUUCCCUAUCCUCCUGCGGCCAUCCUGGGCUCUGAACCCUCCCUGGGGGUGGGCUGGGUCGGAGGCUCAAGGCUGCCAGCCCUGGCCCCAGAGACGAAGCCUAAGUUUCUUCAGUGGCAGAGGAGCUGUGGUGAUUAGAAGUCUCAGGACCUGCAUCUUCUAACAGAUUUCCAGCCUGAGAUCUUUGAGAGAAAAAUGAGUUCAGAUGAACUGAUCUAAUCGAGGGCUGCAAGAGCCUGCUUUGUUUGUGAGCACAGCAUACAAAACAGAUGGCUAGGAACAUAACAGGGAAAUGGGGUGUGACCCCGCCCCUUACCCACUUGUUAUGGUCUCCUAAUCUUAAAGCCUCCAGGGAAAGGUGGUGGACACACCGAGGGCGAGGAGUCAGUUCUCCCGGACAUCAGAGCAGAGCAGGGAUGCAGCGAUUUCUGCGCCCCUCUCCGCUGCACGUGUGAAUGGACCCUUGCUUUGUUUGGCCUUUUUGUUCCACUUGGAAAUUAAAAUUUGGACAAAACUA